rnacentral:rRNA from 1 species
AAUGAACGCUGGCGGCGUGCUUAACACAUGCAAGUCGUACGAGAACUCUUUAGCUUGCUAAAGAUAGUAAAGUGGCGCACGGGUGAGUAACGCGUGGGUAAUCUACCUCCGAAUCGGGGAUAACCCGCCGAAAGGCGAGCUAAUACCGGAUAAUAUCUAUAAAAUUUCGGUUUUAAAGAUCAAAGGUGGUCUCUACAUGUAAGCUACUGUUUGGAGAUGAGCCCGCGUACCAUUAGCUUGUUGGUAGGGUAAUGGCCUACCAAGGCUUCGAUGGUUAGCUGGUCUGAGAGGAUGAUCAGCCACACUGGAACUGACACACGGUCCAG